GACGUAGGGCGCGAGCGUUGUCCGGAUUUAUUGGGCGUAAAGCGCGUGUAGGCGGUCCGGUAAGUCGGCUGUGAAAGUCCAGGCUCAACCCUGGGAUGCCGGUCGAUACUGCCGGACUAGAGUUCGGAAGAGGCGAGUGGAAUUCCCGGUGUAGCGGUGAAAUGCGCAGAUAUCGAGAGGAACACCUGCGGCGAAGGCGGGUGCUGGGCUGACACUGACGCUGAGGCGCGAAAGCUAGGGGAGCGAACGGG
rnacentral:rRNA from 1 species